AUGAGGCCAAAAAGGGAAAAGGCGGCCAGAUCUUGUGGGUCCUGCGGCCACCGGGCGGGGGCUUUACUGAGCGAAGGUGGCCACAGGUCGGCUUCACGUCAGGCCUUCAGGGGAGCGGUGGCCCCCCCACCCUUCCGGACUCGGCCAUGCACAGGGCAGGGGCCGCCGCCGCCUCUCCCCUGCUUCGUCUGCGGCCGGGAGGAGCCUGGGAACCUAGCAAGACGGCAAGGGCUUGUUAGGGCGACUAUCGAUCGGCCAAAGAAAGGCCGGGUGGGACGGCUCAGGUCGGGGCAACGUCGGGACGCCCCACAGGCCGCAACCUGGGCUUUCCCUCCCCAGCCACGACCGCCAGCGCACGGUGGGCGCCCCAGGCCCAGCACCGGACUGUCCCUCGUAGUUCGCACGGGCACGGCGGGGGGUCACUCGGGUUCUCUCGGCACACGCCCCGCCGUGAGGGCCCGGGGAGGGCCGGGAACCCGGGGCAGAGGAGGGCCGGGAACCCGGGGCCUGCCGCCCCUCCCCCACACCAAGCAAGCCUCCCAGCCGCCCACCCCCGGAGCCGGCCGACCGCGCGCCGCGGGCGGACCCCCGUCUCUUCUGCGUCAGUGCGCAGCUCGCGCUCCCCGCGACGCCGGGGACUCACGGCGAGGAACUCACCGCCGACCAGCCGAGGAGCAGGCGUCUACCGACCGCGCCGCGGACCCGCCCAGUGCCCGACGUCCGCUCGCGCCCCGCCCUGCCCCGCCCCGUGCGCGGAUGGCGUCAUCACGUCGAUCCGCCCCCUUGCCAACGCUUUCCUCGCCCUGGCGCGACCUGGCCUUCCUCCCCUCCCCCAUUCGCCGGCUUCCGAGUGCGCAAGCGCAGUCUCGUCCGCGUUUUCCGCCUCUGCGCAGGCGCCGUGCCCCUCCCACGGCGGUUGGCCAUAUAGAGGCUGGGGGUGGGGGGGAGGUCAAGCGUAGCCUCUUCUCCUUUACCAAGAUGGCGGCUUGUCCCUGUUUCGCCACAGUUCCUACCUUAUGA
rnacentral:lncRNA from 1 species